ACGCUCGACACCUACGGGGCAGCAGUGGGGAAUAUUGCACAAUGGGGGAAACCCUGAUGCAGCGACGCCGCGUGGAGGAAGAAGGUCUUCGGAUUGUAAACUCCUGUUGUUGGGGAAAAAGAGGAUGGUACCCAACAAGGAAGUGACGGCUAACUACGUGUCAGCAGCCGCGGUAAUCUGAGCGGGCUGGCAAGGC
rnacentral:rRNA from 1 species